rnacentral:rRNA from 1 species
CCAACGAAGCCUUCGGGCUUAGUGGCGCACGGGUGCGUAACGCGUGGGAAUCUGCCCUUGGGUUCGGAAUAACAGUUAGAAAUGACUGCUAAUACCGGAUGAUGUCUUCGGACCAAAGAUUUAUCGCCCAAGGAUGAGCCCGCGUAGGAUUAGGUAGUUGGUGGGGUAAUGGCCCACCAAGCCGACGAUCCUUAGCUGGUCUGAGAGGAUGAUCAGCCACACUGGGACUGAGACACGGCCCAGACUCCUACGGGAGGCAGCAGUGGGGAAUAUUGGACAAUGGGCGAAAGCCUGAUCCAGCAAUGCCGCGUGAGUGAUGAAGGCCUUAGGGUUGUAAAGCUCUUUUACCAGGGAUGAUAAUGACAGUACCUGGAGAAUAAGCUCCGGCUAA